CCCUUCGAAGUUAAAGGUCAGAGUAACGUCACUGUGAAUGUGAUAUGUUAGGACUGUCAGUAGGGAAUUUCAUUAUAUCUGGUAACUUGGACUGCUUGAGGGAAUUUCUUAUCAACGUUACAUGAGUUGUCACUUGGAUUUUAGCCCUCUACCUGGUCAGGGGCCUAAACAGGGUUCGCAGCCUCUUGGUUCUGGAGAUUUUUGGGAAAAUUACGAUCCCUUUCGGGGCCUUCCCAAGGGCCUAGGAGCCCCAAAUUUGACCCACUGGUCACGAGGGGCUCUUUGAGCCUGCAUUACCGAUUUUCACCAAAACUGCAGAAGGGCCCAGGUGACCUUUGUGACCUUUGGUAUCAAUUAAGCCCAUUUCUACGGGCUCCAUUUUGAUAGCCGUACAGAGUACAUACGGGUAUGAGAGGGAAGAAUGUUGAUCUGGGGCCUAAUGAUCGCAACGGUGUAACUUUCAAACAGUUUGAGGCUUUUUUGGCUGAAAUGAGGGGCCAGCAUAUUCUAGGCAUUGAUAAUGGGAUUUACACUAACUUCUGAUUCCCCUUUCAUUAUAGAUUGCAAUUUGACGGGCCUCCAGCAAAUGCCAGAAAGCACGUAGAGCUUUGAAACCACGACAGGAGCCUUCUUUACAGAAAGCCCAUCCACCUAUUUCGGCCUGGUGUCCGCAGGCGCGAAAGAAAAAAAGUUGUGCCUGGUUGAAUUAGGCAGUCAGACAGGUUCUGACACUUGUUGCUUUUUGUGACACAAGGAAUAUUGUGCUUUACCCGCAAGUUAGCUGAAGUAGCAG
rnacentral:misc_RNA from 1 species